GACGGAGGGUGCAAGCGUUGUUCGGAAUUACUGGGCGUAAAGCGCGAGCAGGCGGCUUGUUAAGUCUUUUGUGAAAAUCCGGGGCUCAACCCCGCGAAAUGCAGAAGAUACUGGCAGGCUAGAGACCAGUAGAGGCUAGCGGAAUUCCUGGUGUAGCGGUGGAAUGCGUAGAUAUCAGGAAGAACACCUGUGGCGAAGGCGGCUAGCUGGGCUGGAUCUGACGCUCAUCCGCGAAAGCGUGGGGAGCAAACAGG
rnacentral:rRNA from 1 species